rnacentral:rRNA from 1 species
CAGUAGCCGCGGGAACACGUAGGUGGCAAGCGUUGUCCGGAAUUAUUGGGCGUAAAGGGCUCGCAGGCGGUUUCUUAAGUCUGAUGUGAAAGCCCCCGGCUCAACCGGGGAGGGUCAUUGGAAACUGGGAAACUUGAGUGCAGAAGAGGAGAGUGGAAUUCCACGUGUAGCGGUGAAAUGCGUAGAGAUGUGGAGGAAUACCAGUGGCGAAGGCGACUCUCUGGUCUGUAACUGACGCUGAGGAGCGAAAGCGUGGGGAGCGAACAGGAUUAGAUACCCCUGUAGUCCCUGUCUCUUAUAA